ensembl:lncRNA
CGGAAAAUUAAGGAGUUUUUGGCUGAAUCUUGUCAGAGUCAGUUAGACAUUGUUCUGCCUAAACUGCAGGAUGUCACACGCUGCCUCUGCGAUUUACUUUCAUUCUCCGGGAAGACAUUCCCAUCCACAGGCCCCUCGAGCGCUCCUCCUGCUCCAGCACCUCCUCAGGCCAUCCACAUACUGAAGGAGCAGAACCGGCUCCUCACACAGGUCUCACACACACACACACACACUCCAUUAAUAUCACCUAUAACACUUAGACCAGUGAUUUUCAGUCUGGUUCUGGGUAACCAGUGCUUUGUGUUUUCCGUUUCACACCUGAUUCAGAUCAUCAGCUCAUUAGUACAGAGAGAUUCAUGGAAGAUGAAUCUAUCUUCCGUGAAUAUCUAUUCACAGUAAAUAUUUAAAUCUUAAUCUCUGUCUCCUCAUCUUCAUCCUCCUUAUUACCUGCUUGCAAAUUCGCUGGCUUUCAUGUCACAUCAGCUUAUUAAUGAACUCAUAAGUGCUUACUUCAUUGGUCUCAGUGUUAUCUUCCAUAUGUCAGCGCACUUCAUGCCAUCUUGUUACCGUUCUUUUGCACAUGUCUCAGUUCAGGACUGUCAUUCAUUCACACUGGAAUCUGAUAUUGGCCACAUUUAAAAAUGACAAUGUGAACAGCCAUACAAAAAUUUCAGAUAUGAGCAAAAAAACGAAUUGAGCACUAAUGCUUGCAGUGUGAACGCAGCCUUAGACAUGCAAAUAAAACAAAGAUUGAAAAGGGGUUUAAACCUCUUGGUAUUGUUCGGUCAUUUUAGGCUGGAAAAAAAGUUUUGAUUUUUUAAAAAAUUGCUACUUCAUCAGAAUGGUACGAAAUUCUAUGACUUUUAUGGCAGUCACUAUGUGACCACACACACACACAAAAAAAAAUGGGACUAAAUGGUUGUAAAAAAAAAAAAAAUUCGCUGUCAAAAAUGACCACCAUUGGAAAUGAAUAAAAAGUACGCAAAAACAUGAAAAUACAGUGCAGUUUUGUUCCAACCCUGCUCCAACACACAUACCAUGUAGGUUUUAAAUAAGACUGAAGGCCUUGAUUAGUUGGAUCAGGUGUGUUUAAAGGAACACUCCACCGUUUUUUGAAAUAGGGCUUAUUCACAUUAUUUCCUACAUUUAGAUAGGUGGGCAAAUGCAUUUUUGUGUCAGUGCAUGCAUUGUUGUGUGCCCGAAGUUGUGUCACAUCUACAGAGGACACUGCGCCGAAGUAGCAGUGCUUCGCCUAAGCAGCAGUGCUUCGCCUGUGCUUCCCCAUAAUAUAGUCCCAAGUCAAUAUCUGCCUAGGAAAUCGCCUAGUGUAAUUAGGUGGGUUUUUUUUUAAUUUUUGAUCACUUUUACUCAGGCCAUGCUAGCUGGCAACAAAGGAUUCCAUUCAUUGUGCUAAGCUAAGCUAACGCCGACCCAGUCAAACUAAAACAAUGCAUGCACUGACACAAAAAUGCAUUUGCCCACCUAUCUAAAUGUAGGAAAUAAUGUGAAUAAGCCCUAUUUCAAAAAACGGUGGAGUGUUCCUUUAAUUAGGGUUGAAUCUCAUGCAGCGUUCCAGGCAACCCGUAACCCGUGUUUUUCGAACCUUCUACCUGUGAAAGUGCACUGGCAGUCAAACCCGUGACUUCCCACCCGUGAACUCGUACUAGAUUAAUGUACUCCCAGUUCCAAACUAUUACGUCACAUAACCCGUGAAACAACAAUGGCAGCCCCUACGGAUAAUAUUGCCUACGGAUGCAGUAUUUAUUCAAGUGGUACACGUUGAAAAAUAGAUUUUAGGACAAUAUAACGUUGCAAUAAAAUUAAUAAUCUAGCUACAAUUCCUUGCGCUCAGGAAGUCUGGCAUGACUUGCCUGGAAUGCUACAAUGUCGUGAAUCAUGGUCUGAAGUCGUGACUUACGGGCUCAAAAACCUGCCUGGAAAGCAGCAUAAACUCUGCAGGGGUCCGGCCCUCAAGGAAUUGAGUAUGACACCCCUGCUCUGAAAUAUCAAGGGCCCUAUUCUAAUGAUCUAAACACAUGGUCUGAAGUGCAUGGCGAGGGUGCACUUAGGGCAUGUCCGAAUCCACUUUUGCUAGUUUAACGACAGAAGAAAUGGUCUGCGCGCCAGUCGUAUGAUCCAAAAGGGUUGUACCUAUUUUCUUAAUGACCCUUACCAAAAAGUAGUAUACUUCAAGUUUAUUUUAUUAAGUAUACUUAAGUAAAGUUUAAGUAUAUUUUAAAGUUUACUUUAUGUAGCAAGUAUACAAAUAUCAGUGUUCUAGUAGUAUACUUGUAAGUGUACUCUUUCAAUACUCCUUGGGACUAAAUUGGCCCACUUUCUAGUAUAUAAAAGUAUACUUUUAAGUUUAAUUUAAGUAUAACAGUAGCAAACUUUUUGUAGUUUUUGUUUGUAGUUUGUACUGCAAUUAUACUAAAAGUGAACUUAUAGGUAUACUGAUAGUUUACUAAUUAAAUACUUUGUACAUUUUUAAGUAUAGUCUCAGUAAACUACUAGUUUAGUAGUUUUAUACUGCACGUAUACUCAUAAGUUUUCUUUAAGUGAACUUUACAUCAUACUUUAAGUAUACUACUAUGUCCCUAUUUAGGUUUUAAUUUGUAUAUAUUUUGUUAUAUGAAUAUCUGAACAUACAAAAAAUCCAAAGAAAGAACAGGGUAUCUGCUUGUAAACAAAACAUUUUAUUCUAGCUUCAUGCUUUUUUUAAAUUUUGUGGGUAAGUUUCAUAAACAAAAUAAAGAAAGAACAUUUUGAACAAAAAGCUGAAAAAAGUCUAUGAAUUGGAUUCAGGAUGAUAAUCAAAACAUAGAUGGAGUCAAUCAACACCCCAAAGCUUGACUGUAAUUAUUACCUCUUCAUCAGUCGACAUUUUAUUCCAUAACGUUACAGUUUUGAUGCUGUUUAAUGUCAGAUGAUCGUGUUACAUGUGUUGUUUAUUUUUCUUCUUCACUUGUGUUUUUUUUGGAAAUUCUGCACAGAAGAUGUGUACUAGCCUCCUCUACCGUAUAACAAAGAAAAAACAGAUUCUAGGAGCACACGUAUAGUUAAAAUAUAUUUAGACUUUUUGUAAGUAUAAGUCAAGUAUACUUAAAUGGCAUUUUAAGUAUAUUUCUGAGAAAUACAUAAAGCCCAUUUCUGAGAAGUACAUAAAAAGUAAACUAAAAGCAUACUUUCCUAUUUUUUUAUUUUAUUUUUAGUUUAAAAGAAGUAUACUAAUAGCACACUUGAAUAAACUUUUUCAUAAGGGGAGUCAUGGGUGUGUUUUGGACGUAACGUGCAAUGAACAAAUCAGAGUCUCAUCUCCCAUUCCCUUUAAAAGCCAGUUGCACAUGCACCAUGGGGGAUUCGAUAUUUACAUGGUGGAAUUUGCAAGACCAAAGACUGAACACUUCUCCAGGGAGCAAAUGGAUCUUCUUGUGCAUGAGGUUUAUAACCGUUCCAGCUAUUUAAACUGUAUUGUUUUAUGAGGAUGAGGGGGAAUCAGUUUUGCAAUAAUCUAUUGGAUAGUGUUCAUAGGUUGGUCUAAAUACACACACACACAAAAAAAAAAACGGCAGCCCAUCUACGGAGCACAAUAAUAAUCUUUUACAUUGUAAUCCUUUCAUUUUUCAUACCUGGCAUGUUUGUGUGCUGCUACGCGUCCCUGUGUGUGUUAUAAGCAGAGUGUGUGUGCUUUGUGCACCCACCUAUAGGCAUGUAUAACACGCCCUUUAAAUAAAAAAAUUAUAAAUAUAAUAAAUAAUAAAAAUACUGCAUCAUUGACUUUAGACCAGGUUUUAGUUGGUCAAUGGCGCAAUUGUUUUCAGUUGCCUCAAAAUAGCAACGCUCCAUCAAUGCGCAAAAUAGACACAUUCAAACUACCCCCCAUGGAUACACAUAUAUGAACUGGUAUGACUGUAACACCAAGUAUGUUCUGCAAAUGCGUGAAAUAAAAUCAAUAAUUCAACCACAAUGAAGUAAAAGCAGACACAAAGAAAGGGGUUACACUAUAAAACAGGGGUCUCCAAACUCCUGGAGGGUCAGUGUCCUGCAGAGUUUAGCUCCAACUUGCCUCAACACA